CCGCGCGUCCGGCGGGGUCCGCCGCGCCGCCGCCGACGAGGCGGCGUACCAGCCGAGGCGGCUGCGCGAGUACGAACCCCGCCGCGCCGCCC
rnacentral:tRNA from 1 species